UCUUAUUAUAUAGGAAAAGGAUUACCAUAUGAUUGUUUUCCCAAGUUUCUUUGUAUUCUUUUGAAAUUUAUGGUUUUUUUUUCCCUUUUAAUUUGGUGUUUAAUUAAUUUAUUGUAUACAGAUGUAGUUAUAUUAAAUCGUUGUUGCAGAUGGACGAACGAAGAUAGGAGGACUUAGAAAUGGAAUGCUUGGUCAAAAUGUUGGAGAAAGUUGGAAUGGAGUCACUGCUUUUGGAUGUCCCUUUUGUGAGCAAGUCAUGGUACAAGAUUUGUGAGUGAUUAUCAAAUUGAUGGGGAUCGUUGCUCUGUCACCGCUUUUCUAAAGUUUGUGAUCAAUAGGAGUAGCGGAAAUGCUACUGUGCUCAAGCUUCCCAAAUGCUGCACAGUAGAAGCCUUUGAAUUUGAUGCAAAUGUGUGUCCUGGCCUUGUGACUUCGAGUUUACCAGGAGAUGUAUUGGACAGCAAACACACGACCCUUGAGUUGAUUGGCAAGUGGAAAAAUUUGGAGGUGUUAUCAUUGGGUUCAUUCUUAAAUUUGGUGAAAAUACUUGCAAUUAUACAAACACAUUGCAAGAAUUUUUAUGGUUUAGCUUUGUCCAAAGGCUAAUUUUCAUGGACGUGAGGCAUCCUCAAUUGUGAAGUUGGUGCCUAAUAUGAAGUACUUAAAUUUGAAAGGUGCAAAAGUUAAUCGGGAUAGUCUUGUCAUGUUGCUGUGCAGAUGCAAAGAUCUGGUGAUGUUGGACGCCAGAGAUUGUUCUGGUUUCAAUGAGAACAAUGAUGAAAUAUCAAAGCUUGCCUCUCAUAUUAGUAAAUUUAUGUGUGAGGGUUCUGAAUUUCCUGAAUUUCUUCGUGGUAUGGACAAUUUGGUUCUUCCUGUUGAUGGAUUCUCAUUUCAUCAGCAUGCGGAGGAGAAUUGGGAUGAAAUGCACAAUGAUUUGCACGAUGCGUUCAAAUUGGGCGACGAGGAAUGAAGAACUAUUUGAUUGUACUAAGUGAUAUCUCAUCUUUUUUAUAUCGACUAACCCUAGGAAACCCAGCCGCCCCUUUCUCAACAAGGGGGAGGAGGAGGUCACUGCCUCUCCUCUCCUCUCCUCUCCUCUCUACUAUCAUCUCAACCCUCUCCUCUCUCCUCUCUCUCCUCUCUCUUCCUUCUACCAUCCACAACACCCUGCACCAUUCUCACCAUUUCCCCCCUCUUUGCUUUCUUUGGUGAUUUCUUUCCACUCUUGUGGGUGGAUCUGAGACUUUAUGUCUUAUUUUAAUUAUGUGUCCCCAAUUCUCCAUCAACCUCUCUCUAAAUCCAAUUGUGUCCAAGCAUCUUCCAUCUACCCCUUGGAUUCCUUUCCUCCCUCUUCGAUCUGGCCUCUCUUGCGGGUUGUAGAAGCUAAUCCAAAACGCGAUCUCUCGCGUCCCCAUCGGAAGGUGUAUAGAGCUCUUGCUCUGGUGCUUGCACCA